CAUUGAUUCGAUCUCUGAUGAGUUAAUGGCAUAUCCCCACCACUGAUCUCACUUACCUAGCCAACCUGGUGAGUUAGGUUUUGAUUAGAUAACUUGGUGAUUAGGGCUCACCCAUGUCAUUAGGUAAAUCAGUUUGACUAAUUUAGGUGCUCCUAAUGCCAGCUUUAAUUAAAUCUUUUUUAAUCUGACUUAGUGAAGUCAGUGGGAGGAUUGAAAUUGGCUGGAUAUUUUCUUCUCAUCUAUCCUUUAAUAAAAUCUUCAAAAAUUAUUAGGUCCUAAAAAUGAUUAAGUUAUAGUGAUAACUAAGUCAUAGCCUCCCAUUAAGUGAGUGAUAAUGAGUCCAUUAGUUUAAUAAUCAUUGGAGGCCUAAAGGCCUGGGGCUUAUUGACUAAUGGAAUUAUCAUUCAUAAUAUGAUAAUUUGGUUUGAGUCUGUCUGAUGGUGGUCAGAUUGGCCGACCAAAGUCGGGCCUGAUCAUUUAUUGGUCUGAUUCACCAAAUCAAGUCAUGUUAAUGGUUGGACCUAACC
rnacentral:lncRNA from 1 species